rnacentral:rRNA from 1 species
UGAAGGCCAGGCUGAAGACUUUGCCGGAUUAGCUGAGAGGUGGUGCAUGGCCGUCGUCAGUUCGUACUGUGAAGCAUCCUGUUAAGUCAGGCAACGAGCGAGACCCACGCCCACAGUUGCCAGCGUACUCUCCGGAGUGACGGGUACACUGUGGGGACCGCCGCUGCUAAAGCGGAGGAAGGAAUGGGCAACGGUAGGUCAGUAUGCCCCGAAUAUCCCGGGCUACACGCGAGCUACAAUGGUUGGUACAAUGGGUAUCUACCCCGAAAGGGGACGGGAAUCUCCUAAAACCAAUCUUAGUUCGGAUUGAGGGCUGCAACUCGCCCUCAUGAAGCUGGAAUCCGUAGUAAUCGCGUUUCAACAGAACGCGGUGAAUACGUCCCUGCUCCUU